GAUGAACGCUAGCGGAAGGCUUAAUACAUGCAAGUCGAGCGGUAGGUGGCUUCGGCCAUUGAGAGCGGCGCACGGGUGAGUAACGCGUACAUGACCUGCCUGUCAGAAGGGGAUAGCCCUGGGAAACUGGGAUUAAUACCCUAUGGUAUUGAUAUUAUGAAUGAUAUCAAUUAAAGUUGAGGCGCUGACAGAUGGAUGUGCGUCUGAUUAGCUAGUUGGUAGGGUAACGGCCUACCAAGGCGACGAUCAGUAGGGGGCGUGAGAGCGUGGU
rnacentral:rRNA from 1 species